rnacentral:rRNA from 1 species
GUUUACGGCCAUGCCACCCUGAACAAGCCUGAUCCCAUUUGAUCUCGGAAGCUAAGCAGGGUCGGGCCCGGUUAGUACUUGGUUGGGAGACCACCUAGGAAGACUGGGUGCUGUAGAUG